rnacentral:rRNA from 1 species
AAGGCUAAAUACUCCUGACUGACCGAUAGUGAACCAGUACCGUGAGGGAAAGGCGAAAAGAACCCCGGCGAGGGGAGUGAAAAAGAACCUGAAACCGUGUACGUACAAGCAGUGGGAGCCCCACCACUAAGCCAGUGGUGAACUCCACAUACGCAUCCUUUGCUGAGGAUACGGUUAACGGAGCGAAAGCGACGUUCAACCGCAAAAGAAGCAGAGGGGGCUUAGUGGUGGGGUGACUGCGUACCUUUUGUAUAAUGGGUCAGCGACUUAUAUUCUGUAGCAAGGUUAACCGUAUAGGGGAGCCGUAGGGAAACCGAGUCUUAACCGGGCGUUAAGUUGCAGGGUAUAGACCCGAAACC